UACGGAGGAUGCGAGCGUUAUCCGGAUUUAUUGGGUUUAAAGGGUGCGUAGGCGGGCUGUUAAGUCAGCGGUAGAAGCCCGGGGCUCAACCCCGGCGAGCCGUUGAAACUGGCUGUCUUGAGAUGUCGAGAGGUAUGCGGAAUGCGCAGUGUAGCGGUGAAAUGCUUAGAUAUUGCGCAGAACUCCGAUUGCGAAGGCAGCAUACCGGCGGCGAUCUGACGCUGAGGCACGAAAGCGUGGGUAUCGAACAGG
rnacentral:rRNA from 1 species